UACGUAGGGGGCAAGCGUUGUCCGGAUUUAUUGGGCGUAAAGAGCGUGUAGGCGGCCAGACAGGUCUGCUGUGAAAACUCGAGGCUCAACCUCGAGACGCCGGUGGAAACCGUCUGGCUAGAGUCCGGAAGAGGAGAGUGGAAUUCCUGGUGUAGCGGUGAAAUGCGCAGAUAUCAGGAAGAACACCAGUGGCGAAGGCGACUUCCUGGCCUGUAACUGACGCUGAGACGCGAAAGCGUGGGGAGCGAACCGG
rnacentral:rRNA from 1 species